CCAAUAGCGUAUAUUAAAGUUGUUGCAGUUAAAAAGCUCGUAGUUGAAUUUCGAGACCGGUUUACUGGUCGUGCUUUUGUACGUACUGGUAUUAUUGGUUUCUCCUUUCUGACGAAUCAUAAUGCCAUUAAUUUGGUGUUUUGGGGAAUCAGGACUGUUACUUUGAAAAAAUUAGAGUGUUUAAAGCAGGCUAACGCUCGAAUACAUUAGCAUGGAAUAACGAAAUAGGACGUUUGAUUUUAUUUUGUUGGUUUCUAGGAUCGACGUAAUGAUUAAUAGGGAUAGUUGGGGGCAUUAGUAUUCAAUUGUCAGAGGUGAAAUUCUUGGAUUUAUUGAAGACUAACUACUGCGAAAGCAUUUGCCAAGGAUGUUUUCAUUAAUCAAGAACGAAAGUUAGGGGAUCGAAGACGAUCAGAUACCGUCGUAGUCUUAACCAUAAACUAUGCCGACUAGGGAUCGGAUGAUGUUAAUUUUUUAAUGACUCAUUCGGCGCCUUACG
rnacentral:rRNA from 1 species